GUAAAAUAAAGCCAAUAAGAAAAAGAACAUAAGUGGAUUCCACUCUUUCCUCCUCUUAUCAACAUGUACCACCCAGAUGAAUUCAUUUCAUAUAAAUUGGCAGCAAAAGUUAUAAUCUUCCUUGUACCAGUAUUAACCAAGUUUCUUAGCAUUGUGCAUGUUCCUAGAUCUGUUUUUAGUUACCUAAAUAGAAUGGAAGAUUGCAGCCAAUCAUGACAAGAAGCAAAGAAAAUGACAGCCUUGCUGUUAGUCAUUCUGGAUAUAAUGAUGCAAAAUUCUUCUGCAAGAGGAAGCCGCUUGCCAAAGAUGCAAAAAGCUU
rnacentral:misc_RNA from 1 species